GAUGAACGCUGGCGGCGUGCCUAAUACAUGCAAGUCGAGCGAACGGACGAGAAGCUUGCUUCUCUGAUGUUAGCGGCGGACGGGUGAGUAACACGUGGAUAACCUACCUAUAAGACUGGGAUAACUUCGGGAAACCGGAGCUAAUACCGGAUAAUAUUUUGAACCGCAUGGUUCAAAAGUGAAAGACGGUCUUGCUGUCACUUAUAGAUGGAUCCGCGCUGCAUUAGCUAGUUGGUAAGGUAACGGCUUACCAAGGCAACGAUGCAUAGCCGACCUGAGAGGGUGAUCGGCCACACUGGAACUGAGGCACGGUCCAGACUCCUACGGGAGGCAGCAGUAGGGAAUCUUCCGCAAUGGGCGAAAGCCUGACGGAGCAACGCCGCGUGAGUGAUGAAGGUCUUCGGAUCGUAAAACUCUGUUAUUAGGGAAGAACAGAUGUGUAAGUAACUGUGCACAUCUUGACGGUACCUAAUCAGAAAGCCACGGCUAACUACGUG
rnacentral:rRNA from 1 species